UGUAAAGGCAAAAGAGAGCUUGAUUGCAAGACAUACAGGUCGAGCAAGGAUGAAAAUCGGACUUAGUGAUCCGGUGGUUCUGCGUGGAAGGGCCAUCGCUCAACGGAUAAAAGCUACCCUGGGGAUAACAGGCUUAUCUCCCCCAAGAGUCCACAUCGACGGGGAGGUUUGGCACCUCGAUGUCGGCUCAUCACAUCCUGGGGCUGUAGUAGGUCCCAAGGGUUGGGCUGUUCGCCCAUUAAAGUGGUACGCGAGCUGGGUUCAGAACGUCGUGAGACAGUUCGGUCCCUAUCCGUCGCAGGCGUAGGAAAUUUGAGAAGACCUGUCCUUAGUACGAGAGGACCGGGAUGGACGUACCUCUGGUGUACCAGUUGUUCUGCCAAGGGCAUGGCUGGGUAGCUAUGUACGGAAUGGAUAAGCGCUGAAAGCAUCUAAGCGCGAAGCCAACUUCAAGAUAAGAUUUCCCACCGCAGGGGUAAGACCCCAGAAAGACUAUCUGGUUGAUAGGUCGAAGGUGUAAGUGCAGCAAUGUAUUUAGCUUAUCGAUACUAAUAGGUCGAGGACUUGACCAAU
rnacentral:rRNA from 1 species